CGAGUCUUCAAAUUCAGUGGAACCUCCCUUUACGAAUUUAAACCGUUCCGUGACUCCAUUCGCAAACCAAGGACGAAAACGUGACGCAAAGAGCUAAACGUGGCUCUUUGAUAACUAAAACAUGUUGAUGAGACAUGCGCAAGUUUUCGUUCACACGACUGGAUGAAAGGGUUAGCGCGUCAGUGCUCUGUCAGAUGAUCAUUCAAAGGUGUGCUGGCGCCUACCUCAGCUGACUUUGGGCGAGAGGAUGCGGUGCAAGAAAAGACAACUGAGCCUUCUGCACGUCCACCAUUGGCACAAUUUAAUGUCGUGGCUGAUUUCCCAGAGCAAGCCCAACAUACUUUGUCUGGAAUGACAAAACUCCUUGCAGUAUGACAUAAUCCACAACCAACGAUUUGCCCUACAACGCCAAAGUGUUUGAUUUUUUUGGGAUAUCUUCCGUGUCGUGUGACAUGUCAACGAGAACCCUCCGACAUAUCACCUGACGUCAACCAAUAGGAUUGCAUCUUACAAUGGCGCAUUGGCCUCCUUGCUCG